AGCCGUUUUAAACUCUUCUAGGAACGGCGUCUGAAAAAUUUUAGGGAUGAAGGAGGGGCUGAAAAUUUAGAAAUGUUAAGGACGAACAUCCGCAGACGCUUGGAGGAGGCACUACGUGAGCGGCAGUAUCGGAGAGGCAUCUGCUUACAGGCCCGCGAGCUGGGGUGUAAAAUGGACCAAAUGAACUAAGUUUCUCUUAUUGAAUAUUAUUAAGCAAAGUCAGUUACAACAAAUGUUACUCUUCAAUGGUAAAAUUGAGAUUUAGAUGUUUAUACCUCUAUCAUCAAUAUUGUAUUUUAGCGAAAUUAAACUAUUUGAAUUGAAUAAAAGCUGUGGUCCAUAUGAUAAA